CCAGACUCCUACGGGAGGCAGCAGUGGGGGAUAUUGCACAAUGGGGGGAACCCUGAUGCAGCGACGCCGCGUGGGUGAAGGAGCGUUUCGGUACGUAAAGCCCUAUCAGCAGGAAAGAAAAUGACGGUACCUGACUAAGAAGCCCCGGCUAACUACGUGCCAGCAGCCGCGGUAAUACGUAGGGGGCAAGCGUUAUCCGGAUUUACUGGGUGUAAAGGGAGCGUAGACGGCAGUGCAAGUCCGGAGUGAAAGCCCGGGGCUCAACCCCGGGACUGCAUUUGGAACUGUAAGGCUAGAGUGUCGGAGAGGCAGGCGGAAUUCCUAGUGUAGCGGUGAAAUGCGUAGAUAUUAGGAGGAACACCAGUGGCGAAGGCGGCCUGCUGGACGAUGACUGACGUUGAGGCUCGAAAGCGUGGGGAGCAAACAGGAUUAGAUACCCGUGUA
rnacentral:rRNA from 1 species